ACAUUCUAGAUGUGCUGUGCUGUCUGAGCUCUGCCUGUCUCUGAGAAUGGAGUGUGCAUGGGAAAAGUGUUCAAAACCUGGUUAUACCAUAGCCCAAGAUUCCUCAGAUUUUACCAGUGCCGGUGCAGCUGCCAGGAAGAGCUGUGUGCUUGAGUAGAUUGAUUAGUUGUGUGACAGAGCAGCACAUCUACUGCAUUCCUUCCUCUCGGCAUCAGUAAGACUUACAGGCUGCCUUGAUGUAUCCCCGGCUAUGCUACAUAGCAUCUGCAGUUACAAAGCAAGAAAAGGCAGUGCCAUCUGAUACGUCAUAAUGUAUGGCUAUACUGAAAAUUCAGAUAGGUAAUGAGAUUGGAAAGAACAAUGUUAGUUAGGAAUCAGUGUGGAAUACAGCAAACGUUCACUCAGUUUUGCAGCAGAGAAGCACGUGGUUCCCUCUGCAGUCUAUAGUGUAAG